CAGUAGCCGCGGUAACACGGAGGGUGCAAGCGUUACUCGGAAUCACUGGGCGUAAAGGACGCGUAGGCGGAUUAUCAAGUCUCUUGUGAAAUCUAACAGCUUAACCGUUAAACUGCUUGGGAAACUGAUAAUCUAGAGUAAGGGAGAGGCAGACGGAAUUCUUGGUGUAGGGGUAAAAUCCGUGGAUAUCAAGAAGAAUACCUAUUGCAAAGGCGAUCUGCUGGAACUUAACUGACGCUAAUGCGUGAAAGCGUGGGGAGCAAACAGGAUUAGAUACCCCAGUAGUCCCUGUCUCUUAUAC
rnacentral:rRNA from 1 species